CCCCUGGUGGUCUAGCGGUUAGGAUGCGGCGCUCUCACCGCUGUGGCCUGGGUUGGAUUUCCGGUCAGGGAA
rnacentral:tRNA from 1 species